UGGGGAAUAUUGGACAAUGGGCGCAAGCCUGAUCCAGCCAUGCCGCGUGUGUGAGGAAGGCCUUCGGGUUGUAAAGCACUUUUGUCCGGAAAGAAAUCCUGUCGGCUAAUACCCGGCGGGGAUGACGGUACCGGAAGAAUAAGCACCGGCUAACUUCGUGCCAGCAGCCGCGGUAAUACGAAGGGUGCAAGCGUUACUCGGAAUUACUGGGCGUAAAGCGUGCGUAGGUGGUUUGUUAAGUCUGAUGUGAAAGCCCUGGGCUCAACCUGGGAACUGCAUUGGAUACUGGCUUACUAGAGUGCGGUAGAGGGUGGCGAAUUCCCGGUGUAGCAGUGAAAUGCGUAGAUAUCGGGAGGAACAUCCGUGGCGAAGGCGGCCACCUGGACCAGCACUGACACUGAGGCACGAAAAGCGUGGGGGAGCAAAACAGGAUUAGAUACCCUGGUAGUCCACGCCCUAAACGAUGCGAACUGGAUGUUGGGAGCAACUAGGCUCUCAGUAUCGAAGCUAACGCGUUAAGUUCGCCGCCUGGGAAGUACGGUCGCAAGACUGAAACUCAAAUGAAUUGACGGGGUCAUAGC
rnacentral:rRNA from 1 species